GACGUCACCCUCCCGCGCCGUCCUCCCAGAGUGCCCCGCGGGAGCUAGGCGCUUGACUGUAUUGAGGGGGCCUCAGGUGGGCGGCUGCAUAGGUGUGCGCGUAGCUAAGUGGGGUGUAGGGGUCUGCAGGGUACGGUGGUUGCGCGGGAGGCCGAUCCUCGCCCCGGGGCCAGCCUCCGCCACAGAGGCGACAAGCAGGCGCGUGGGGAUGGGGGCUGGAGCGAGAGCAGGAGGGGCGGCGCAGAGAAUCUGCUGGAACUGAGGCUUCUGGGCCCUUGCGCUGGAGCCAUCAAUUCAUGGGAACCGGAGUUCCUUUGGGCCCCAAGGACUCUUCUGGAGCCGCCUUGCAGAAGCAGAACCGGGACAGUGAUAACCAGACCAGAGUUGACUGUGUUACUGUGUAAUUAUGCACACUUGCUCUCGGCCUCAGUUCUUUUUCUGUAUAAACUUAAGAGUGGCCAGUCCGUCUUCCUGAAGUUGUGGCUAAGGAUAUCUGCUCCCCCUAUAUUCCCCUUGUAGCUACAAUAAUGAAACUUCUUUCUCGUUUAAUGAUUUUUGGGGGCAACUGAUUUCUUGGGAUCUCCAGAGUCCAGCCUCUAUCUUAGGACUCUAGUAGCAGCCAGAAGGAACAAUUUUGUGGACUCUUAAGAACAGUUUUCAAGUUUGAGAAGCAGGAGUGUCUAAUGCGCUCUUGAUGUGGAUGAUCCAGUAGGCUUGCGAAAUUUACAGCCCUCUGCUCAGUAUCCAUUUUCAACUGCUGAAAUCACCUCGAUCGUGCUCGUCUUCCUACAGAAGGCUGCUUUUUGAUUAAAAAAAAUUUAAAAAAGCCCAGGUCCUGCCCGACCUGUGCCCUACAAUGUUUCGUGUUACAAUAUGAAUCCAAUGUAGGGACAAGCACUUUAGUUUUUUGUUUUUCUUUGCGAUGGGGUUUCUAUAUAUAGUCCAUGCUGGCCGUGAACUCACUGUAUAUCCCAUGCUGACCCUAAACUUGCAGUGAUCCUGCUGCCUUAUCCUCCUGAAUGCUGGGAGUAGAGGCACAGGCCACUGUGCCCAGCCAGGGACAAGCACUUUGAAGGAAAAUACAAAAUUCCUUAGCAUGAGAUGGCCAGUGCCCACUCCCAGGGUCUAGGAAGAAGGAAACUUACUUCACUUUUGAGGGAUCUGUGGGUGGCACCUCAUGUUUUUGGUGGAAAGGCAUCAUUUCAGCCUGUGGUAGGGACCUGCUCUUCCCAUUUCUUCCAGAGAGUUGCCAAAAGCAGGACCUUGCUCUGCUGGAGUUGCUGGUGUCCUUGCUCUAUUCUCUGUGGUGGAGCCUGGGCUACUGAGUCUCCAGCACCCAUGGAUACAUCAUCAAAAGUAUCCUUGGGCAUUAACUGAAACAUCAGUGCUAUUGCUCAGGGGUUUCAGAGGCAGGAGGGGCUGUGGGGAGGGGGUCAUGGGAACCAGCUUUUUCCAAGCAAGUGGAGGGAUUAGUUGCAGAUUUAGUAAAGGGGCUGAGGGUGGGGAUGGUCGGCCAGCAGAGACUCCCUGCACCACACACUCACAUCCCAGGUGUUUUUCAGCUACAGGAUCUGUUCAUAGCCCCACUGGUAUCAGUGUUGUCAUGGUGUCUAACCAGACUGCUUCCCUCUAGUUGUACUGUCCUGUCAGAAAACCCUCAGGGACCUCCUUUCACCCUGAGGGACAUUCUUCCUUAGCAGGCUCCAAGCUUUUUUUCGAAGUGUGCCUGCUGUCCUCCACAGUGCUGUCCUGUGCCCAUGGGGCAUCUUGUCCUAUUCUGAAGUGCUCUUGAGACCCCUGCAUUGGUUGCAUCUCCUGCUGCAGUCAACUGUAGGCAAUGCCAGCUCUAAGCAUGAGGGCUCGGGAAGCUGGGGCCUGCGGGGUCUUGUGGCAUCUAGGUGGCUUAGAAAGGGCUGCAGAGCCCUGGGAGCUCUGGGAUGGGCCAUCCCCCAAUUUCCUCAAGUGCCUCAUUUUCCUGUCAGGGUCCAGGCUGUUCUCAGAGCUGGAAUUGGAUCCGUGCUGUUUCAUUCUGUGUGCAUCCUUGGUGAACCCAGUGGGCCCUGGGGCUCUCAGAGGAGGGACUUUGCAGCAGAUGUGCUCCUUACAGGGUGGGCUGACCAUGUCCCCUGCCCCACUCUGUUCAGGUUCCACAGGAGGACAAGGACAAGGUGCCUGUCUCAGUCUCCUUGGGACUUUGACCUCUGCUGAGCCACGUCACAGUUGUUACUCAAGGGCUAGAAAGCAGAAAUCUUACCAACGCCUUUAAAGAGCACCAGAGGUGGUGCUGUUGGGCUCCCAAAGAGCCGUACACUGGCUCCUCAGUGCUUCAGCCUUGCUACACAGCUCAGUUCCCAGAAGGUGGUCUCUAGGCUUUGCUGGCCUCCCUGAUCCCCAAGGCCAGCCUGUUUCUAUGUACUGGGCAGCAGACGCACAAAAGGCCCACUGACUGACUGCUUAGGCAGCAGGAACUGCUGGGCCCCGCCCCGGCCUUAACUUCACCCUGUGAUCUGAGGCUAGUGCUGGCAGCCGUGGGUCAGUGGCUCUCUGCCCUGCUGUGUUCUAUGGAUAGCUCAGAGAGAUGCCGAAGAAAUGUCUGCUUGCAGAUUGGUGGCCGUAGAGUGGAGAGUGGCUCUCCUGGCAUUCAGAUCUGGAUGUUUAGAUUCUGCUGGCUCAAUGCUGGCUGCAGAACGGUUGCUGCUGGUCCUCCAAGGCAAUUGCCCUCAUCGACGGUCCAAUUCCCCAGGAGGAAAAAUCAAUGAGAUUGUGGGUUUCUGCUGUAGCACACAUGAGCCCUGUGAUUAUCGUACAAAAAGUCGGCUGGCCUCCCACAGUGGGACUUAGUUCUGUGGGCUUUGCUGUUACCUCAAGAAACUUAUUUUUGAACAAAUAAUAGAUGAUAUUCUCUGGCACCCAUGGGAGCUAAACAGCUCCUGACAGCUGGUGAGCUCUCAGAGGCGGCUCUUCCUGGGCAGGUGGGGGAGCCAUUUGCCAGGCUGUUCCACCCAAUCUCCUGCUGAUCCCGGGGUGCCAGCUUGCUUCUGCUGUGGCUGUAAUUGCCCCCUUGAUGAGCACGGUAAUGACGGCCUGGAGCUGCCAGCAUGAGUGCUGGAGCCAGAGUGCAGAGCACUUUCCCCGCCAUGGAAAAGCCUCUGAAGGGCAAGGAGAUGUGGCUGGGGACAAGGGCGCUUACCUGCCCAGGCACUCACAGGAAGCAGAGCAGCUAUUCUGGCAUGGGGUGCACCUGAGAGGAGGCACAUGAGGACCCCUUCCAGUGGGCCCACUCAGUGGCUGUGGUGACCACAGGGCAGGAAUGCAGGGCUGCAGUUGGGUGGAUGAGGAAACUCAGGCAGGGAAGGGUUUUCACCAAACCCACACUGGGGUCCAGCGAUGACCCCACAGAGCUGCCCACCUGCCCUCAAAAGUGUGCUCAAAGGCAGCACUGCCUGAAGGGUGCAGGCCCCAGGCCUCUGGCUGCCAGGAGGAGGCAGGCCGCAGGCAGGGUGCCGGGUCAAGGGAGGUUCCACAGGGACAGGUGGGCAGCCCUGAUGGCUGUGUCUCAGGUCCAAGGGCAGAGGGCCUCCUGCAGGACAGAGGGAGAAGCAGGGGGUCCUUAGUAGUGUCCUCUCCUCCUCUAAAGAUGGGGACACAGUACCCGGCCACAUUCAGCCACAGUGGCCCUUGGUGAGGAGGGGCUGGUGGUAUGGCAGGAGGGACCAUGGCAGUGGCUCCUACUGGAGAUGGGCAGCGGCUCUGGUUCCGGGGAGGCUGCAGCAUCGGAGGGACAUGGAACAGGGCGUCUUCCAGGACCGACCCUGACUACACCAUGCCUGCUUGCACAGCACCACAGGAGGGCUCCCGGGUCAGGCCACGUGCAUGUAGAGCUCCUGGCAGGCUUUCUGUAAGUGAGAUGUCUCCAGGUAGACAGGUCUUGUCCCUGGGAUAAGCUGAGUGUGAGGACUGCACCUGACUGCUUCCGUGUGAGCUGGGGCACAGUUAUGUAACUCACAGCACUGGGGCCAAAGUGAGGAGACGAAGCUACCUGCAGGGGAGUCCAGUGCUGUGGAGGUGGUGGCACCAGCACAGGGGAUCAAGGGCAAUCUCUGGCUUUCUCGGACCAUGCCGGCAGAAGGAUAAGUCCAGCCCUGGUGUCAGACCCUCUUGGCUAUGAGGGAGCCUGGCCAGGGUUCCUUGUUGCUGUGGGUUUCCAGAUGGGAAGGCAGGGCAUCCUCUUCGUAGGCUGGGGCUCCAACUCGGGUCCUGUGGGCAGGCUGCUUCCCAUUUAGGCCGUAAGGCUCCACCCUCAAAUUCUCAUGAUUCUGUCUCUGAGCUGGUGUUUUGCCAUUGAGGUCUGCAGGGCCAGGUGGGUGUGAGCAGCAUAGAGAUGCAGUGCUCAUGCUGCCUGCUCCAUGGAGCCUUCAUGGCACCCAGGAGGUAAGAGAGGCCCGAGGUGUCCUCUGGAGUCAUGCGGCUGAGGCUGGAGAGGCCAGCUGGCAUCAGGAGGCUGUGCCUUGUGCUGCCUGUGUUGAGGCCUGGACUUGCCCACCCCUGACUGUCCUGGCCUUCCCUGCUGAGCACGUGAUUCUCCCCACUCUUGUCUGUCACUGGUGGACAAUUAUGCUGCUCUUCCCCAAAUUUUCCUGAGAAGAUGCUCUCGGCCCCCAGGUCCGGCAGACUCGUUCGUGGUGAGUGUUGGCCUAUGCAGUGCAGGACAUGGCUUGGAUCUGUGGGCCUUUCCUAGAGCCCACUGUCUGGGCUUCUGAAGCCCUUUUGUCCCAGAGGCUCCACGGUCUCUAGACUUUGGCUCUCGCCUCAUGGGCACAGAAUCCAUGAACCCACUGCAGGAUAUGUGGGCAAGGACAGGCAGCGUGUCACACCUACAGCUGGAUAGUGAGAGCCUUCAUUCAAGCCAGACCUCAGGCAGAGAGGGCCACAGGGGCCAGGGCACAGGGCAGAGAGGCAGGGACAGGUGACAAUUUCGAGGUGGCUUCCGAGGGACAUUGUGAGCGCAGACUGCCUCUGACACCCAGCAGGGCCUCUGCAGACUCAGGGUGCAGGUUUGAUGCACACAUAAAGGUGAAUGUCAAGUCCAUGAUGCUGACUCUAAAUUUUGGGGUUUUUAAGUAAAAAAUUAAAUUGGCCCAGGAUAAUUGCACACUGUUGGGAGCCGUGGCACUGUCAAGUCAUCAGACGCGGUGAUUGCGAGGCCUGUGGGAAAGUACAAAAGCCUGAGCUAGAUUACCCCUCUCAUCGAGCCCGCCUGUGUGGCACCUGUUUCUUAUCACCCCACUAAGUUCCCGCCUCACAGGGUAGUCUGCCUAGCUAUUAAUCCUAUAUAUAGCCAGUGCCUCCACCCCCGAGAGAGAGACUGAAGCACGGAAGGAGCCGCGGGGAGCGGACCGGUAGAGGCUUCGGGGCAGACUGAAGCACGGAAGGAGCCGCGGAGAGCGGACCGGUAGAGGCUUCGGGGCAGACUGUAUAAGGAGAGAAUAAAGAAAAGCCUGACCACCGCCA